ensembl:lncRNA
UGGAGUGGACUCUGAGGGCUCCCGGACUGGAGCCAUUUGACAAGUGGACUCUCUGAGAGCUCCCGGACUGGAGCAGGCUCUGGAACAACAGGAGUGGGUCUUGCUGCCCUCCUCCUUUGCUUGCAAAAUAAUGACAAAGCCUCAAUAUUCUCUGGGGAAGUUAGGUCCAACUUAAGACUCUCCAUGGGCACUGCAACAGGCACAGACUGACCAGAUGAAACCAGUAAACUGUGGUAACAGAGAGAGUCAAAACCCCAAAAGUCUUCAGUCUCUCCAUCUCCCAUAGAGGCAAGAGGUACUCCAAGCAUUCAUUAAAAGUCUCGUUGAGCUCAGAAUUACAAAAUUCCAGUCCUACCGCCAAACUCCAAACAGUCUGUGCAAGACCUCCAACUCCCAUCCCAUUGACGAAGAGCCACCAACGCUCCUUCUUAGAAGCGGGAGAAAGAACUCUAUGCCCGUGAUUCAAAGGUCAGUGAAGACUGGCUAGCUGCCAGGUCUGAGAUGAUGGCUGCAUUAUUCUGUCACGAAACAAUCUCAGAGUCAAUAUGAAGAUCCAAAUGCAGCAUUUAUUUUCCACAACAAAUGGUCCAAAAAACAGAGCAAACAGCAAAAAACACAAAGUAAUCCAGAAGGCAGUAGUCAACAACAUUAAAACCCCAAAGACAGGAUGACAAAAACACAGUGCAAUACUGCAGCAAACUAAGAUUAACAAAAACACGGUAUUUAUAGGGACACUAGCAAGAAUUAAUGACACACACCUGGAAAACAAUGAACCUGAUAGACAGAGCAAAGGGUGAUGGGAAAUGAAGUCCACAAGCAAUAACAGAGACCCUGGAGGAUCGCCCUCUGGUGGCUGUCAUGGGCACUGCAGCCAAUGGCUUGUAGACCCUUCAUCUUCAAAUGAUCUGCAGUCUCCAAAUGACCCUCAGUUUACUUUACUUGACUGAGCCUGUGAGAAAAUAUUCAGACCAUCCUAAGAACAACUAGGCUGCGUGACAAGCUUUCACUUUGACUGUUUGGGAUAGAUUGCAAGCUGAUCCACCAGCCUGUUUCAAUUUAAGCUGAAAAUUGUGACAGGAAAUGUGGGGGAUAAGAGGAAGUGGU